rnacentral:SRP_RNA from 2 species
AAUCGGGCUCCGUGCGACGAAACGACCUGAACCUGGUCAGGCGGGGAACCGAGCAGCCAUCAAGGAUCGGCUUCGGGUGCCGCGGUUUUGUCGGGUUCGG